ensembl:lncRNA novel transcript, antisense to PKIB
AUUUGCAACUUUACCAGGUAGUAAAUAACCUCCUGAAGCAAAGAACCAAGAGCCUUCUUCUUGGGCUCCCGGGAAUGGGUUAGAUGCAAGCGGCUUCUGGUUCUCACUUGCUUCAUUGUCACCAAGAAUAAAUUCCCAAACAUACACUAGAGUCCACCUGAGAGUCUAAAAUGGGGCACAAAACAAUUAACAAAGGACUCUAGAUGAGUGCUGCUUUGUCAACUGUGGCUGCUUACAGGAGCUGGAACCAUUUAGACAUUUGGAGAUUUCACAAAAGUCCUUGCAAUCCCACAGCAAGGUAACGCAAUUUACGUUGCCUGAGACACACUUCUAUCUCUAUUGAAAAUAUACAAUUUUCAGGCUGCUUGAGAAAAGACUAUUACACAGUCAUAUAUAUAUUUAUAUAUGUAUAUACACACAUGCCAGCAUCUUUACAGUCUCUGAAAUAUUGAGAAUGCAACAUCAGCACUACUCAAGAGGACGAGAUGUUCAAGAUAAAUGGAGCACUAAAGGCUAUUAAAAAAUCACCAGUCAGAACCCAGUGGGCCCCGAAGAGCCUGCUAAGAAAAAGAGGAUGUUAGUAUGUUAGAAGCAUAAUUAUAAACAAACAGAAGUUUUGCAAACUGUUUCCUCCCCACAACAGGUCCAUUUUCUUAAUUCAAACACAUUAUUUUCUCAAGCUUCCUUACUUGAAGCCAAGAUUGCAAAAUGGUAGAUCCAUUCUUUUCUCAUCUCCAGAUACAUAUCACUCACCCUAUCUUCCACAGUGAAACCAUUGCUCAUUUUAUACCUAAGACUUCAAAUAAACUUCUUGCCCGCUAAAUUAGUUCCCUGGAGGUAUGAGUCAGACUUUCUGAAAAAACACAAAAUAACAAAGAAGUAAAAACAUGCAUUUUGGAAAAAAUGUCAGUGCUUUUCCUGACCAAAGACUAAGAGAGAAGGAGAGACUGACAAAUGGACAGACUGACACUGGUCUCCCCUGAUAACCAAAUGCCUUAUCUACCUCUCUCCAGCUCUCAGUAUCCUAAUCCCUUAUGCUACAUGUUUUCAGUUCUCUGCCUACGAAUUAUUUAUUUCAUAUAAUUUUCUGUUUUGAAACACACGAACCUCUUCCAAAAAAGGCGAAAGAACUAGAAUUACUUCUUUAUGUGCCAACAAAAACAGAUCAUUAUUUAUUCAUUCAGUCAUCUCUUGAGCUCCUACUAAAUUAUUAAGUGCAAAGCCUUGUUGCUGGCCCACAAGUUACAAAGAGGAACCCAGAGUCUGGUGAGAUGAGACACAGUUUGAUCUUUCUAGUUACCUUUCUUGACCUCAAAUCCUAUUAUUUGGAAAUAAAGUAAAAUUACCCACUCCUAAAAUGUAAAUGCUUUACAUAUCUCCUAUUCACUUAAGUAUCAAGAUCAUUUUAAGCUAAACAGAACUUACAUGAAAUGUAGACCUGCGUAAUUUUUUUCAACUUAGAAACUUUCCUGUCUUUGAAAUUUUUCAAAAGAUGGUAUUUCUCUGUCUCUAGUGUAAGUCAAAGGGAACCCUACCUUUGGUUUGUUGACACGCACAUUUUUUAAUGUUUAUGUUCUUGCUUGCUAAUUGCAUAGACAGAUCCUUCAA